rnacentral:piRNA from 1 species
UGCCAGUGUCUUGUGUACGAGAA